UCACGUUCUCUCCCCUCGAGCAAAACAACCCAGCCUUUCCGGAUCCAAUCCUCCUCCCUCUCCCCCAACCACCCACCGCGACCGCUCCGCCGCUCCAGUCUCCCAAUCAGCGCCGCUCCGCCGCUCCAGUCUCCCAAUCAGCGCCGCUCCAUCUCCCCACCCACCGCCGUGGUGCCGCCGCUCCAGUCUCCCAAUCAGCGCUGCUCCCCUCACUUCCCUCCCUAGGUCGCAAAUGGAGUCGAGCAGGUCAGCGCCGCGGCCAGACUCGCCACAGAUAAGCACCGUCGUCGAGCUGGAGCUGGGCCGCGGCGGAGGCCGGCUUCUUCUGCACAAUCUAUGCACGGAGAGGAGGCCACUGCUUCCUCCGGCGUGUGCUUCUUCUCGGGACGACAUGGAGCUCCUCAAGGUCCCCUCUUCUUCCUCCCCGCAUCUCUCUCUCCGUUGGAUGCGAUUCGGCAGGCGUGGUUCCCUGCCUGAUUCGGUGUCCUCACGCACGUCGAGCAGCAGAUGUCUCCGCCUCCGUUCAUGGUCAGAACACUCUUUCCUUUCUUCUUCUCUCUCGUCCAUCUCCUGGAUUCAACCUAUCUAUCUAUCCAUGCUAGUUAAUCAAAGGACUUUCUGGAUUCUGAAUCUGUAACGGGGGUAGCUAGAUGGAUCAUGUAUGAGGAUGGAUCAGAACGGGAUGAUGGUGGUGAAGAUGAUGGUGAAGCAUCAGAGGAUGAUGGUGCCCGGUAUGAUUUAUAGUUUAUAUACAUACUGCACUGUUAAUUAAAGGUUGUAACCUCACUGUCACACUAAUGGACGCAAAAAAGAAGAGUGGUAGUACUAUCAAUGGUUCAGUCAGCGCCUCAACAACGUCUGCACUACUUCUGAUAUUGUUUUUCAGUAGCUUUUUUCUGCACCUUUUUCUUUCAGUUCUUAGUGUUGCUGCCCUAACCUAUACCACUUGUCCUGUCUUGAGCGUCAUCACGAUGUGUCGGAGUAUCUAUGCUAUACAUCUGUGCUAUGUCUCCCCUGUUUACUUUCAAUUAGCAUUGUCAAGCAGUGUGAAUGGCACUGGUUGCAAAUCUAAAUGCUAAUUACUUCCUAAGAUGUUAAUGUGUAGGAUGAAUGCUAUUAGAGAAUCAGUGCAGCAAUCAAAAGCAAUCUAGUAUUUUUGCUAAGAAAACAGUGCCACCAAGAAGUUCUUCGUGGGACUAUAACUAUUAGUUGUUGGAAUGGUUCGUUUGGAUCCUUGCUUGGGUUAAUAGUUUGUUAUUCGCUGCUUUGUUUGCAAUUUGGGUUUAACUCUAAUACAUAAUUUCUUAUGGCACCUGGUUCCUCCUUGUCUUUGUUGUGUGAAGAUGUUCUUUUUAUCAGGGAUACUUGUGCAGUCGUGCAGGUUGGUUUCAGCACGGUUCUAUAAAGAAGUUGGCACUUUGGUUAUAUAUGUUUUUUUAGAAUCACUUUGGUUAUAUAUGUUGGGGGGUAUUGGUAGGGUAUUUUGUUGCCUAUUCUAAGGCUGUAUAGCCGUUCUUGUCUGUGGUUUAAUUGCUCUCGCUGUUGGCAUUCUACACUGCUUGUGCUAAGAUCUGAAGGUGAUGAACUUGUAUGUUUUAUCUCAUGUUCUGAAACAAGGAUCGACUUGAACAUCUGGACUAGACUAGUGGAUGCCAGCAACUCCUCUGAAACUCUUCUUGAAGUUCAAUGUUUUUCUGGAAAUGAUUGCACAGCAUUACCCCCCCCCCCCCCCCCCCCC